GAUGAAGAACGUAGCGAAAUACGAUACUUGGUGUGAAUUGCAGAAUCCCGUGAACCAUCGAGUCUUUGAACGCAAGUUGCGCCCGAAGCCAUCAGGUUGAGGGCACGUCUGCCUGGGCGUCACAUAUCGUUGCCCAAUGCCUAUUGCAGUGCAAUAGGAAUUUCUAGGGCGAAUGAUGGCUUCCCGUGAGCGUUGUUGCCUCGCGGUUGGUUGAAAAUCGAGUCCUUGGUAGGGUGUGCCAUGGUAGAUGGUGGUCGAGUUAGAACGAUACCGAUCAUGUGCAUGCUCCCCAAAAUAUGGCCUCUAUGACCCACACGCGUCUUUUGACGCUCAUGACGAGACCUCAGGUCAGGCGGGGCUACCCGCUGAAUUUAAGCAUAUCAAUAAGCGGAGGA
rnacentral:misc_RNA from 1 species